rnacentral:rRNA from 1 species
CCCUUAGAUGUUCUGGGCCGCACGCGCGCUACACUGAUGCAUUCAACAAGUGUCCUUGGCCGAGAGGCCUGGGAAAUCUUGUGAAGGUGCAUCGUGAUAGGGAUAGAUUAUUGCAAUUAUUAAUCUUGAACGAGGAAUUCCUAGUAAACGCAGAUCAUCAAUCUGCAUUGAUUACGUCCCUGCCCUUUGUACACACCGCCCGUCGCACCUACCGAUUGAAUGGUCCGGUGAAGCCUCGGGAUUGUGACAAGCUGCUGUCAUGGUGGUCUGUCGCGAGAACUUGUCUAAACCUUAUCAUUUAGAGGAAGGUGAAGUCGUAACA